rnacentral:rRNA from 1 species
AGCAGCCGCGGUAAUUCCAGCUCCAAUAGCGUAUAUUAAAGUUGUUGCAGUUAAAAAGCUCGUAGUUGAAUUUCGGGAUUGACACAUCGGUCGUGCCUUAAGGGGUAUGAACUGGUGUAGUCAAUUUCUCACCUUCUGGAGAACCGCGAUGCCCUUAAUUGGGUGUCGCGGGGAACCAGGACCUUUACUUUGAAAAAAUUAGAGUGUUUAAAGCAGGCAUUUUGCUUGAAUACAUUAGCAUGGAAUAAUAAAAUAGGACGGCAUGAUUCUAUUUUGUUGGUUUCUAGGAUCACCGUAAUGAUUAAUAGGGAUAGUUGGGGGCAUUAGUAUUCAAUUGUCAGAGGUGAAAUUCUUGGAUUUAUUGAAGACUAACUACUGCGAAAGCAUUUGCCAAGGAUGUUUUCAUUAAUCAAGAACGAAAGUUAGGAGAUCGAAGACGAUCAGAUACCGUCGUAGUCUUAACCNUAAACUAUGCCGACUAGGAAUCAGACGAUGUUAAUUUUUUAUAGUACUACGUUGG